rnacentral:rRNA from 1 species
AACGAACGCUGGCGGCAGGCCUAACACAUGCAAGUCGAGCGAGACCUUCGGGUCUAGCGGCGGACGGGUGAGUAACGCGUGGGAACGUGCCCUUCUCUACGGAAUAGUCCCGGGAAACUGGGUUUAAUACCGUAUACGCCCUUCGGGGGAAAGAUUUAUCGGAGAAGGAUCGGCCCGCGUUAGAUUAGGUAGUUGGUGGGGUAAUGGCCUACCAAGCCUACGAUCUAUAGCUGGUUUGAGAGGAUGAUCAGCCACACUGGGACUGAGACACGGCCCAGACUCCUACGGGAGGCAGCAGUGAGGAAUCUUGGACAAUGGGGGAAACCCUGAUCCAGCCAUGCCGCGUGAACGAUGAAGGCCUUAGGGUUGUAAAGUUCUUUCGCCUGGGAAGAUAAUGACGGUACCAGGUAAAGAAGCCCCGGCUAACUCCGUGCCAGCAGCCGCGGUAAU